rnacentral:rRNA from 1 species
UGUCUUUACUGAUAUGAAGAGCUUGCUCUGAUUUGAUUUUCCCUUAAAAGAGUGGCGAACGGGUGAGUAACACGUGGGUAACCUUCCUCUUAGCAGGGGAUAACAUUUGGAAACAAGUGCUAAUACCGUAUAAUACCAACAACCGCAUGGUUGUUGGUUGAAAGAUGGUUCUGCUAUCACUAAGAGAUGGACCCGCGGUGCAUUAGCUAGUUGGUAAGGUAACGGCUUACCAAGGCAAUGAUGCAUAGCCGAGUUGAGAGACUGAUCGGCCACAAUGGGACUGAGACACGGCCCAUACUCCUACGGGAGGCAGCAGUAGGGAAUCUUCCACAAUGGGCGCAAGCCUGAUGGAGCAACGCCGCGUGUGUGAUGAAGGGUUUCGGCUCGUAAAACACUGUUAUAAGAGAAGAACGGCACUGAGAGUAACUGUUCAGUGUGUGACGGUAUCUUACCAGAAAGGAACGGCUAAAUACGUGCCAGCAGCCGCGGUAAUACGUAUGUUCCAAGCGUUAUCCGGAUUUAUUGGGCGUAAAGCGAGCGCAGACGGUUAUUUAAGUCUGAAGUGAAAGCCCUCAGCUCAACUGAGGAAUGGCUUUGGAAACUGGAUGACUUGAGUGCAGUAGAGGAAAGUGGAACUCCAUGUGUAGCGGUGAAAUGCGUAGAUAUAUGGAAGAACACCAGUGGCGAAGGCGGCUUUCUGGACUGUAACUGACGUU